rnacentral:rRNA from 1 species
GUACACACCGCCCGUCACACCAUGGGAGUUGGCUCUACCYGAAGACGGUSCGCUAACCGCAAGGAGGCAGCCGGCCACGGUAGGGUCAGCGACUGGGGUGAAGUCGUAACAAGGUAGCCGUAGGUGAACCUGCAGAAGGAUCA